UACAGAGACUGCAAGCGUUAUUCGGAUUCACUGGGCGUAAAGGGUGCGCAGGCGGCCGGGUGUGUGAGGCGUGAAAGCCCGAUGCUUAACAUCGGAAUUGCACCCUCAAACUACACGGCUAGAGCAUUGGAGAGGGUAGCGGAAUUCACGGUGUAGCAGUGAAAUGCGUAGAUAUCGUGAGGAACACCAGAGGCGAAGGCGGCUACCUGGACCGGAACUGACGCUGAUGCGCGAAAGCGUGGGUAGCAAACAGG
rnacentral:rRNA from 1 species